AGACUCAAAGUAACUAAAACCAGCUGUAACCAGAGACAUGCACAGACUCAAGUGUCCAGUUAUGUACUCUGUUGGAUGAUAUGACCUUCAAAAUUAAUCUUUGGGUAAGCCCAGUCUAUAAACUGCUUGUUCAUAUGUCUACUCUGGAUUUAUGAUAUACUCUCUUCCUUGUGGUAGCUGACACUCUCUGGCUCUGACUGUUUAGAUCAUGUGAAAUCUGACUUACCAUCUAGCCAGGAUCUUGAGCUCAUUGCUACCAAAGUCCUGACUAACAACUUUAAAAAAAUGGA
rnacentral:lncRNA from 1 species